GUACAAGUAGCUCAACCGACAAAGCAACUGCCUAUGACGUAGUGGCACGGAGGUUCAUGUCCCACCUUGGACA
rnacentral:tRNA from 1 species